UCAAAAACAUAACUAUAUGAAGAUAUAUGUAGCUAUUUCUGCUCAAUGAUUUAAUUAAAUAGCCGCAGUAAUUUGACUGUGCAAAGGUAGCAUAAUCAUUUGGCUUAUAAUUGAAGUCUAGUAUGAAUGAAUACAUGGGGGCUAGCUGUAUCAAGAAUGGUGUUAAAAAUUACUAAUUGGGUGAAAAUUCCCAUAUUUAAAAUAAUAGACGAGAAGACCCUAGAAAUUUUAAAGAUAUUGAGAAAUUUGUUUUUGUUGGGGCGACAUAAUAGCAUAAAACCUAUUUUAAUUACAUGUGAUUAUUAUAAUAAGAUAAACCAAAUUACUCUAGGGAUAACAGCAUAAUAUUAAAAAGUUUGUGACCUCGAUGUUGGACUAGGGAAUAAUAGCCCAGAAGGCUUUUUAUCAGGCUCUGUUCGAGCGGGAUCCCCUACGUGAUCUGA
rnacentral:rRNA from 1 species